UAGACCCUACGGGGGGCAGCAGUGAGGAAUAUUGGUCAAUGGCCGGAAGGCUGAACCAGCCAAGUCGCGUGAGGGAAUGAGGCCCUAUGGGUCGUAAACCUCUUUUGUCAGGGAGCAAAGGCGUCCACGUGUGGACGAGAGGAGAGUACCUGAAGAAAAAGCAUCGGCUAACUCCGUGCCAGCAGCCGCGGUAAUACGUAGGGGGCAAGCGUUAUCCGGAUUUACUGGGUGUAAAGGGAGCGUAGACGGUUACGCAAGUCUGGAGUGAAAGGCGGGGGCCCAACCCCCGGACUGCUUUGGAAACU
rnacentral:rRNA from 1 species